UGUUAGACACAGGAGGCAGCUAGGCGG
rnacentral:sRNA from 1 species